rnacentral:rRNA from 1 species
CACGUAGGCGCAAGGCGUAGUCCGGUAUUCGAAUUGGUGGCGUAAAGAGCUCGUAGGCGGUCUGUUGCGUCCGCUGUGAAAACUCGGGGCUUAACCCCGAGCCUGCAGUCGAUACGGGCAGGCUAGAGUUCGGUAGGGGAGACUGGAAUUCCUGGUGUAGCGGUGAAAUGCGCAGAUAUCAGGAGGAACACCGAUGGCGAAGGCAGGUCUCUGGGCCGAUACUGACGCUGAGGAGCGAAAGCGUGGGGAGCGAACAGG